rnacentral:lncRNA from 1 species
GAGUACCGAGUAGGAUUUUUACAAACAUAAGAUUUUAAAAUAAUUCUACUACGCUGUUAAUGUCUGAUAAUCGUAAUAAUUAUACAUAUCCAGAAAGAUUUGAAAGAAGUCUUAGUUUAAGUUUAGGAGAAUUUAUUUGGGACAUAGACACAAGAUUCUAUUCUAUCGUAGACUACGCUAUACACUUUAUUUAUAUAACAGAAAAUAGUAGAUUUUGUGUAGAUU